GAAUGGUAGACAUACCAGACUUAAAAUCUGUUGGGGCGUAGCCCCGUGUGGGUUCGAGUCCCACCGC
rnacentral:tRNA from 13 species